CUAAACCAAACAGACAGUGUGCUUACUCUGAAAGCCCGCGGCACAACGUCACUCCCGGACUCACCAUUUUAUUACAUGACUAUCAAACAAGUCAAAGAGAAAGUGGCGUCUUGGUCAGAGCUGGAGCAUGUAGGCCUAAUCCAGGAGCCUGCCUGAACCUAACGGAGACAACACAUGCACUGUGAUAAACAGCAAAGGAUUUCUGAGUGUCCAUGAUUUGAGACUAUUGCUGCUGAGGUACAUGCAACAACGAGGAAUGAAGUUCGAGAGACCUAAGAUGUGGGACACAAUGCAUUCUGGAACGGGUUAUGGAUUAUAGCAGACUGCUGCUGCUGCUGAUGGGAGUGAUCUUCAGCCACUUGCCUAAAGUAUCUACAAAAUCCAUUGACUUUUGGUGCAAAAAUGACACCAGGGAAAGAAUGUUGGAGAUGAUUGAGGACAAGGUGGAGUGCGUGGGAUCAGAUGACCUGCAGUCGCCUCUACAGCUGCCAUGUGUUGGAGUCAAUGCAGUGGAAUGGGC
rnacentral:lncRNA from 1 species